UAAGGAAUAUUGCUCAAUGGGAGAAAUCCUGAAGCAGCAACGCCGCGUGGAGGAUGGAGGGUCUAUGACUUGUAAACUCCUGUAAAGAAGGAAAAAAUUCCCAUUAGAUGGGAGAUGAUGGUACUUCUGGAGUAAGCCCCGGCUAACUACGUGCCAGCAGCCGCGGUAAUACGUAGGGGGCAAGCGUUGUCCGGAUUUACUGGGUGUAAAGGGUGCUCAGGCGGAUUUGUAAGUCAGAGGUGAAAUCUUACAGCUUAACUGUGAAACUGCCUUUGAUACUGCAAGCCUAGAGUAUGGAAGAGAGUGAUGGAAUAUCUGGUGUAGCAGUGAAAUGCGUAGAUAUCAGAUAGAACACCAAUGGCGAAGGCAGUCACUUGGUCCAUUACUGACGCUAAAGCACGAAAGCGUGGGUAGCAAACA
rnacentral:rRNA from 1 species